rnacentral:lncRNA from 1 species
AUCUAAUUCACACUAACACAGCCCCUCAGAGCCUCUCAUGCCAUCUACACGUUUCUCUCUGGGGAGAUUGUUGGGAGCAGAUACUUGAAGAGGAGCUGAUUCUCUUUAGAGAUGGGCACGGGGUGAAAAACCAAGAGAGCUCCUGGCUGCCAGAGCCCGAGGAGGAGGGGCAGCUGCCAUCCACCUGGCUGACACAGCUGCUGAGCGGCACUGCCUGUGCUGAGCACUCUGGUUCGGGGCCACUGGUGAAGGAGUCAUGCAUCCAGUAGGUGGGUCCAAGGGGUGGCGCCUAGGGAGGGGUCCUGGCAGCUGGGAGCGUCAGGAGGCUGGUGCUCCUCAAGGACCUGGCUGCCCUGGAGGCAGUGGAGAUCCGGGCUCUCUUAGCUCUGUCUCUGCCACCCGCCCUGGCCCACGAGGCCCCACAAUGUUCUCUGACCUUCUCCAUGCAGGUCCUGGGGGAGACAUUGAUGUAAGGCCCCGAUCCUUGCCCCAGGCUCUCAGGGAGCCAAUGGGUAGCGGGGUGUGCUCUGCCCAUCUAGUCGCGGAGACCAGCUUACUUAGAUGUGGCCCACACAGUCUGUGCACUGCGCUCUACCUGCAGCAGGUGCCAGACCAUCAUCCUGGGGCUGCCCCACACCUGAGCUGGAAGGACGGAACUGGCAGCCUGAGCCUGCCUGUCAUGUCUGUCCUGUCUUGACCCAAGAUUGAAGCAAGUGGUCCCAGAGGUGGCCCAGCAAAGACCCACAGAUCGCUAUUUCUCUGGUGGCCACAUGGCCUACCUGUGAAGGUCCCUCCCUGGAGAAACUACCCAAAGGCUGGGAAAUAAACAUUUUUGGCUCCAAGAACAGCUAUAUAAGAACUACGUGUCCCAUGGAAACGUGUGUACACCUGUCUGGAGGUAAGUAACAGGGCCUGUGGACAGGCAGUUUUCCUUACUUGCACUUGAAAGUCUGGGCUCACUCCAGAUCCUCUAAUCGGGGGCUCCCAGUGGCAGGGG